rnacentral:lncRNA from 1 species
GAAACCCUUUCUGAAUAAUUUGCCAUGUCUCUGAAAAUGUUUCAAAUUUUGGUGUCUGCUCUGCUGUUUACAGCUUCUGUUUUGAGUGUCCUUGGAGCACCCUUUCUGACAGAAGAAUCAGCGAAUCAAUUCAUGCGGCUCAAACGACACGUACCAUAUUCUCCAAGCUACUGGGACUCAGACAGCAGCCAGAACACGUGGGCAUACACUGUGGCUGAACAGAUUAGUGAAUCAUGGGCAGCUUUGAGGGAAACAGCACAAUACUACAUGGACUUGGACCCUUUUGCCUUUGAUCCUUCGAGAGCUGUGUUCAAUGGGGUAUCUCAAGAGAGCAUUUCAUAGACUUGGAGCCUGUGUGUACCUAA